rnacentral:lncRNA from 1 species
CGGCCGGCUGGCGUGGGGAGGGACCUUCAUCUCAAGGACACUGAGAAAGGGAGAUGGAUGGCGGAGAAGUGGGGGAGCGGCGGCCCCCGCGGGGCGGGCACCGGCCCAGCCGCGCCGCGCCCCACCCCCCGUGGCCGGCCCCGGCCCCCGACGCCCCGGCUCGGCGCCCCGCAGACCCCGAACGCGCCCCCACCCCCGGCCCUGCCCGGUCCGCGCUCGGCGACGGCAUGAAAUUGGCUGCAGCCGUAAUGAGUCCGCGCCGCGCGGAGGAGGCUGAGGGCCCGCCAGGGAGCCCUGCGCGCCUCGUUUAGCUUGUUUAUUGUUCAGGCCUAAUUAAAACGUUCCACCGCGCUGCGUUUACAUCCGCCCCCCGCUAAUGAAUUCUCGGCCGCCGGGCGAUUUCGGAAACUGCCGCGGGCCGGAAGGGGGGUGGAGGUGGCGGGACUGGGGAGGGUGCGAAGGAGGGGGCGCGCACACACACACACACACACACACACGCACACACACGCACACACCCCCUUCCGCGGCCGAAGGAGCGAUUAGGCAUCCGGUGAUUGGCUCCGAGGUCCGAGGGAGCGCCCCCAGCCCCAUCGCCCCCAGCCCUCGCAGGCGUUUGGAGGUGAUGGAAGGCAGGGACGCAGGACUCGGAGGAGGGGUGCGGAGAGGGAGCUUAAGAGUGAAUGUGCGUGUCCUUCUGUGCGUGGUAGGCCUAUGGGUGCCUGAGAGCAUGUGCGCGUGUGGGUGCACCUGCUCAGAGGAGCGGCCUGUGAGUGUAGGGCUCUGCCUGCCUGUCAGAGCUCCGUGCGGGCUUCUCCCCCGCGGGAGGAAUCUGUGCGUGGUUUACAAUGUUUCUGGUCUCUCUGGGCGUAGCUGUUUGCCGUUUGCUGUUUACCUCCUUGUCACGACCUCAGCGAGGGCAGAUGGAGCCAGUGGAGGGAGAGAGACAGACGGCGAUGGUUGGGCAGCCAGGGCCUCCCUGCCGGCCCCACUCCUCUUACAGACACAGGCACGCGCGCACACACACGCACACACACAUAUACACACACACAAAACACACGCACCCACGCUGCCCUCCACCGCAUGCAGCGAAAGAAAAUACAUAAAAAGCAGCUGAGACACCUUUCACACAUGACCACAUGGAAACACACAAGUGAACAAACGCGCUCAGACAUACCAACAUGCCAAUCACACGUACAGAUGGAAAGACAAGAGCCUGGGGCACAAAGCCACUUGGCACAAAGCCACCCGGAUGUACACCCCAAACACACACACACACACACCACACACACACACACACACACACACACACACACACACACGGAAGACAUGCGAACUUAGUACACACUUCUCCGGACAAUCGUGUGCACACACAUCACUACCUACCACAUGUCCGUGCACUCUCCAGUGGGGCCCAAUUACUCUCCUAGAAAAUUCAGAUCACCCAACCUG